AUUGAACGCUGGCGGCAGGCCUAACACAUGCAAGUCGAACGAGUGGCGGACGGGAGCGUAAUGUCUGGGACACUGCCUGAUGGAGGGGGAUAACUUCUGGAAACGGUAGCUAACACCGUAUUCCAUCAGAUGUGCCCAGAUGGGAUUAGCUUGUUGGUGGGGUAACGGCUCACCAAGGCGACGAUCCCUAGCUGGUCCGAGAGGAUGACCAGCAACACUGGAACUAUGACACGGUCCAGAGUCCUACGGGAGGCAGCAGUGGUGAAUAUUGCACAAUGAGCGCAAGCCUGAUGCAGCCAUGCCGCGUGUAUGAAGAAGACCUUCGGGUUGUAAAGUACUUUCAGCGGGAAGGCGUUACCCGCAGAAGAAGCACCGGCUAACUCCGUGCCAGCAGCCGCGGUAAUAC
rnacentral:rRNA from 1 species